rnacentral:rRNA from 1 species
GGCGCAGCUGAUCUAGCCAUGCCGCGUGAGUGAUGAAGGCCCUAGGGUCGUAAGCUCCCUCAAUUGUGAAGAUAAUGACGGUAGCAGUAGAAGAAACCCCGGCUAACUCCGUGCCAGCAGCCGCGGUAAUACGGAGGGGGUUAGCGUUGUUCGGAAUUACUGGGCGUAAAGCGUACGUAGGCGGAUUAAUAAGUUAGAGGUGAAAUCCCAGGGCUCAACCCUGGAACUGCCUUUAAAACCGUUAGUCUUGAGAUCGAGAGAGGUGAGUGGAAUUCCAAGUGUAGAGGUGAAAUUCGUAGAUAUUUGGAGGAACACCAGUGGCGAAGGCGGCUCACUGGCUCGAUACUGACGCUGAGGUACGAAAGUGUGGGGAGCAAACAGGAUUAGAUACCCUGGUAGUCCACACCGUAAACGAUGAAUGCCAGACGUCAGCAAGCAUGCUUGUUGGUGUCACACCUAACGGAUUAAGCAUUCCGCCUGGGGAGUACGGUCGCAAGAUUAAAACUCAAAGGAAUUGACGGGGGCCCGCACAAGCGGUGGAGCAUGUGGUUUAAUUCGACGCAACGCGGAUUAR